rnacentral:rRNA from 1 species
UACGUAGGCAGCGAGCGUUGUUCGGAGUUACUGGGCGUAAAGCGUGCGUAGGCGGUUUUGCAAGUCUGGUGUGAAAUCUCCCGGCUCAACUGGGAGGGUGCGCCGGAAACUGCAAGGCUGGAGUAUGGGAGAGGUAGGCGGAAUUCCUGGUGUAGCGGUGGAAUGCGCAGAUAUCAGGAGGAACACCGAUGGCGAAGGCAGUUCUCUGGGCCGUAACUGACGCUGAGGAGCGAAAGCGUGGGGAGCGAACAGG